GGCUUCUGAAACAUUCUGCCUUCAAGAAAACCCCUCUUAAACAUCGGAGGCCAGCUUUGUUUCUUCAAACUUUACAAACCUGGAAUGCUAAUCAGAGAGCUUCAGUAGAACACCAAGCUACUGUAAAGAAGAGAAAAAAGACUAUUAAGAAAUCGAUCACAUUGGGAGACCCAUGGAUGUCACCCCAAUCUAAGAAAAGGAAAAAAAAUAUUUUUGUUGGUAGACAGCUGACAUUGGGAAAACUACUCUCAGGGGAAAAGUUGAUGGUGUAGUUGUCCCAAAGGAUUCAAAUGUCAAUCAAUUCCCAAAUGCUGGAACUUGUAGGAAUCUUUUUUUCAGAAAAUGAACAAAACUACAAAAUUCAGAAAAGAGGAAAAUGGAAUGGAUGAGUGGUUAUGAGGAAAAAAGAAAUAACGAAGACUAUGUUUUGAAGGUUAUCUUGAGUGAUUUUCUAAUCAAGGAAGGAGAUUUUGGAUACAAUUAAUAAUGUCCAAUUCACAAUACUAGCCUUUAAG